rnacentral:rRNA from 1 species
AUUGAACGCUGGCGGAAUGCUUUACACAUGCAAGUCGAACGGCAGCACGGGGGCAGCCCUGGUGGCGAGUGGCGAACGGGUGAGUAAUACAUCGGAACGUGCCCGGUCGUGGGGGAUAACGUAGCGAAAGUUACGCUAAUACCGCAUACGAUCUGAGGAUGAAAGCGGGGGACCUUCGGGCCUCGCGCGAUCGGAGCGGCCGAUGUCAGAUUAGGUAGUUGGUGGGGUAAAGGCCUACCAAGCCGACGAUCUGUAGCUGGUCUGAGAGGACGACCAGCCAAAGGGGAACAGAGACAGGGGGAAGACUACUACGGGGGGCAGAAGUAGGGAAGAUUGGGCAAUGGGAGAAAGAGUGACGGAGAAACGCCGCGGGAGCGAGGAGGGUCUUGGGAUAGUAAAACACUGUUAGUAGGGAAGAAAAAAUGUGGAAGUAAAGAUGCAGGGCGGGAGGGGAACGAAUAAGAAAGACACGGCGAGCUAAGUG